GAUGAACGCUGGCGGCGUGCCUAAUACAUGCAAGUCGAGCGAAUGGAUUAAGAGCUUGCUCUUAUGAAGUUAGCGGCGGACGGGUGAGUAACACGUGGGUAACCUGCCCAUAAGACUGGGAUAACUCCGGGAAACCGGGGCUAAUACCGGAUAACAUUUUGAACCGCAUGGUUCGAAAUUGAAAGGCGGCUUCGGCUGUCACUUAUGGAUGGACCCGCGUCGCAGUAGCUAGUUGGUGAGGUAACGGCUCACCAAGGCAACGAUGCGUAGCCGACCUGAGAGGGUGAUCGGCCACACUGGGACUGAGACACGGCCCAGACUCCUACGGGAGGCAGUAGUAGGGAAUCUUCCGCAAUGGACGAAAGUCUGACGGAGCAACGCCGCGUGAGUGAUGAAGGCUUUCGGGUCGUAAAACUCUGUUGUUAGGGAAGAACAAGUGCUAGUUGAAUAAGCUGGCACCUUGACGGUACCUAACCAGAAAGCCACGGCUAACUACGUGCCAGCAGCCGCGGUAA
rnacentral:rRNA from 1 species